UACGUAGGGUGCGAGCGUUAAUCGGAAUUACUGGGCGUAAAGCGUGCGCAGGCGGCUUUGCAAGACAGAUGUGAAAUCCCCGGGCUCAACCUGGGAACUGCAUUUGUGACUGCAUGGCUUGAGUGCGGCAGAGGGGGAUGGAAUUCCGCGUGUAGCAGUGAAAUGCGUAGAUAUGCGGAGGAACACCGAUGGCGAAGGCAAUCCCCUGGGCCUGCACUGACGCUCAUGCACGAAAGCGUGGGGAGCAAACAGG
rnacentral:rRNA from 1 species